CCAGGCAAGUCCGGUGGUGGAAUCGACACACCUAGAAGGUCCGAGCAACAACAGAAGUGAAUUGGUUACCAGUCUGCCACAAGGAAUGACCAGCAAAAGCCAAUUUCGCCGCUGUUAAAUAGUAGGACUAUCUUCAGAAGCAGCGGUAAUCUACAUUCGAAUGGAUUCUGGCGGAUUGAUCCUCAAGAUGCUCAGAUGCUCAGAGCCGGUGGAUGGUCUAUCGAUUGGCAAAGUAUCAUGACAAGAUACUUCAGACACACUAGCGUAUACAACCGAUCGGGCCAAUUCCUUGUAGUUCACUUGCAGAUAACCGAAAUCAAGUCUUCGUGAUUCGGAUUCGGAUGGUUCGGAUCGCUCCGCCAAAAAAUCCUCCCUUAAGGCUCGAUCCAACAUCUUGAGAGCUGGGUGUUGAUUCCAGCGACCCUCAUUUCAAAUUGCCCAAAGGUUCCAAACCGGAGGAUGAAAUCUUCGCACAGAAUCGAGUUUAGUUAUGACGGCUGAACUGGAUGCCCAGAACUAAAUUUAACAUCAGAGAACCAGUCUAGCACCGAUAUUUGAUGCCCCAAGCCCACCUGCGUUCGGUGCAUCCGUUUCCGGCGCGAUAUCGUCUGCUAGUGCCUUCGGAGCAUAAUCAAUUUUGGUGCCGAUCCUGGAUCCGAUCGUUGCCGCUAUUUCAAGCGCCGUAUUUAUUAGAUCUUCCAUGGUUACAUAGCCUUUUCGGUGGGGCCAAUGUAACACCGGCAGCAUAAGUACAUGAGAAUUAAAGAUGCAUCAUAGCAGGAAAUCGC